rnacentral:rRNA from 1 species
GCUGACGACAAUAGCACGAUGGCACCACCUGAUCCCUUCCCGAACUCAGAAGUGAAACAUCGUAGCGCCGAUGGUAGUGUGGCUCCGG